AUACAUACCUGGCAGGAGAGAAACCAUGAUCACAAAAGUAGUUUUCCCAGUGUGAGGCGUAUCCAUUGCAUUGUGGCUAUUCUGACCCCUGCAAUUCCCCCAAAUGUGAGAAACUCGACUGCAUAAUUUGUGAUCAUGAGGUAUGGUGUUUACACACUCCUCUA